UAUAGCUCUAAUAGAGAUGUUUCUAUAGUUCUAAUAGAGAAGUUUCUAUAGUUCUAAUAGAGAUAUGUUUCUAUAGUUCCAAUAGAGAUAUGUUUCUAUAGUUCUAAUAGAGAUAUGUUUCUAUAGCUCUAAUAGAGAUGUUUCUAUAGUUCUAAUAGAGAUGUUAUGUUUCUAUAGUUCUAAUAGAGAUGUUUCUAUAGUUCUAAUAGAGAUAUGUUUCUAUAGCUCUAAUAGAGAUGUUAUGUUUCUAUAGUUCUAAUAGAGAUGUUAUGUUUUUAUAGUUCUAAGAGAUAUUAUGUUUCUAUAGUUCUAAUAGAGAUAUGUUUCUAUAGCUCUAAUAGAGAUGUUUCUAUAGCUCUAAUAGAGAUAUGUUUCUAUAGCUCUAAUAGAGAUGUUUCUAUAGCUCUAAUAGAGAUGUUUCUAUAGUUCUAAUAGAGAUGUUAUGUUUCUAUAGUUCUAAGAGAUAUUGUUUCUAUAGUUCUAAUAGAGAUGUUAUGUUUCUAUAGUUCUAAUAGAGAUGUUAUGUUUCUAUAGCUCUAAUAGAGAUGUUAUGUUUCUAUAGUUCUAAUAGAGAUGUUGUGUUUCUGUAGUUCUAAUAGAGAUAUGUUUCUAUAGUUCUAAUAGAGAUGUUUCUAUAGCUCUAAUAGAGAUG
ensembl:lncRNA